GAGGGUUGCUCUGACCCAACCCGAUGACACCAACCAACCCCGUAAUGGGGAGUUCCCCUAUGGGGAACCCUCGCACUUCAGUGCGGGGAGGAGGUCAGUCAAAUGUAUUC
rnacentral:sRNA from 1 species